AUGCGAUACGUAGUGUGAAUUGCAGAAUUCCGCGAAUCAUCGAGUCUUUGAACGCAAGUUGCGCCCGAGGUCUAGUGCCGAGGGCAUGCCUGCCUGAGCGUCAUG
rnacentral:rRNA from 1 species